rnacentral:rRNA from 1 species
AUGGAGGUGGCCGUCAGCGCAGCACGGUGGGUGGUGACCAAGGCACUUGCCCCGGUGACAGAUGGCCUGCUGGAGGCGUGGGCGGCCAGCUCCGGGCUCGGCCCCAACAUCGACGCCCUCAAGAUGCAGCUGCUCUACGCCCAGGGGAUGCUCAACAACGCCCAGGGGCGGCAGGGCAGGGACAUCACCAACCCUGCUCUCAAGGGGCUGCUGCACAAGCUGAGGCAGCUGGCGUAUGUCGCCGAUGACCUGGGCUGCCUCCAGGACGCACUGGAAGGCACCUACCACGCAGCAGCCGGCGUGGAUGACCUGGGCUGCCUCCAGGCCCUCGCCCUCAACGCUCGCCACACGGCUAGAUCUGUUGCCGGCAAGAUCAAGUCCAUGAGCUCCUGCUCGCGUGCUGCUAGCCCACUUGAUGCCCAAGAAGAUAUUGGUGGGAGCCGUGGAUGCUCAUGUGCCGGCGGAUGCAUGCCCAAGGUUUCCUCUGGUGCUGUUCAAGCUGCUGUUGGUAAACACUUCCCAUGCUGCUACUCUUCUCCUCAUACCAGUGAGUUAGUCGAAUCGUCCAACGUGCCAGCUGCAAGCAAAUGGCGGCUCCUCUGUGGCGCCUGCCCACCCAAGGCACCGACACAGAGAGUUCGCAACACAGAGGAAACACCAAAACUGAAGUUUGAUAGGGUGGAAAUGUCCAAGAGAAUGGUAGACAUGGUAGAGCAGCUGAAGCAUGUAUGUGCUAUGGUCUCCACCAUUCUCAAUCUGGAGCUACUAAGCUUAAGCCGUAUUCCUAACCCAGUCAACAUUCCUAUGGAUCGACCCAAAACUACCCCACAAAUUAUAGAGCCUCAGCUAUAUGGGAGGGAUACCCAGAAAAAGGAAAUCAUAGAUGGCAUCACUCAUGGUGAAUAUUCUUCCAAACAACUUACUGUCCUUCCAAUUGUUGGGCCGGGGGGUGUUGGGAAGACAACCUUUACACAACACAUAUUUGAAGAAGUGAAGAGCUGUUUCCAGGUUAGAAUUUGGAUAUGUGUGUCUCUCAACUUCACUGCUGAUAGGUUGGCACAAGAGAUUUUGGAGCAGAUCCCCAAAGAUAACAGUAGUGAAAGCAAAAAUGGUAGUAGCAAAGAAGAGCAAAUUGAACAAAGGUUAAGAUCAAAAAGUUUCUUACUUGUCUUGGAUGAUGUGUGGAAAUAUCAUGAUGAUGAGUGGAAAAAACUAGUAGCUCCGUUCAAAAAGGCGGGGACAGAAGGCAAUAUGGUUAUAGUCACAACUCGAAUUCCAGGGGUAGCAGACAUGGUCAGGACAGUUGACCAUUCUAUAGAAAUGGAACAUCUUGGUCCUCAAGAUAUGUUGUCUUUCUUUGAAGCAUGUGUAUUUGGUGACCAACAACAACCAUGGCAAGAACAUCCUGAAUUACAAGAUGUUGGGCACAAAAUAGUGGAAAAAUUGAAGGGUUUUCCUCUUGCUGCAAAAACUGUGGGUAGAUUGCUCAGAAACCAGCUCACAUUUGACCAUUGGACAAGAGUUUUGGAAAGUAAAGAGUGGGAGUCACAAGCUAGCGAUAAUGACAUUAUGCCAGCCCUCAAGCUUAGCUAUGAUUAUCUCCCUUUCCAUCUGCAACAGUGUCUUUCCUACUGUGCAUUGUUUCCUGAAGAUUAUGAAUUUCAUGCAGAAGAGUUGGUUCAUCUGUGGAUUGGACUUGGUAUUUUACACUCAUCAGAUGAUCAGAAGAAAAGAAUUGAAGAUGUUGGAUUGUGUUACUUAACUGACUUGGUUAAUCAGGGGUUUUUCAAAAAGAAUGUAUCGAGCCUUGGCAGUCCUCGUUACACCAUCCAUGAUCUACUACUUGAGUUAGUAGUGAAGGUCUCAUCAUAUGAGUGUCUUAGCAUAUCCAGCUCUAAUGUGAUGUCCAUACAAAUUCCCCCAUCUGUACGUCAUUUGUCUAUCAUUGUAGAUGAUGCGGACGUCAAGGACACGGUGACUUUUGAAGACUACAAGAGGGAACUUCACUCUGACAUAUUUGAGGUGGGAAAACUAAAAUUCAUCAAUGAGUUGAGGGCAUUUAGAGUGGGACAAGAAGGUAACAUGUCUGAACUGAGUCAAAUAGGGAAACUGGCAAAUAUUGGAGGAUUACUUGGCAUUUACAAUCUUGAAAAGGUGCAGUCAGAAGAAGAAGCAACUGAAUCAAAACUGAUACAAAAAAGCCACAUGAAAGAGCUAAUAUUAGACUGGGAUGUUCAGCGAUCUAACAGGGAUCCUAAAUUUGAAGAAAAUAUCCUUGAAAGUCUUGUACCACACAGCAAUCUUCAAUGCUUAAGCAUUAGAGGGCAUGGAGGCACUGCCUGUCCAAGAUGGCUAGGUUCAAACCUCUCAGUCAAGAAUCUGGAAUCUCUUUCUCUGGAUGAUUUGUCUUGGGGAAACCUUCCACGUAUAGGAGAGGUGUGGAUGGUCAAUGAUCUUGGUGUUGAGUAUCAGGACUGCAUCUUAGGCCAAACAUUUCAAAAUUUGAAAAGGCUAGAAUUGGUUAAGAUACCAAGAUUGAGAAAAUGGGUUGAGGACAAUACUUCUCAUUUGUUCCCUCAGCUAGAAGAACUCACCAUUAAAGAUUGCUCUGAACUCACUGAGCUGCGAUCUUCCCAUCAUAAUAGUGGUCUGCCACAGCAAGAGAAGGACAUGGCUUGGUUUCCUAGACUAAAGUCUCUCAGGAUAGAAGACUGCCCAAAGCUAUUGUCAUUUCCUCAAAUCCCUUGGACUUCUAGCCCUUGCUCUGCUGUGAUAAAACGGGUGGACGCUGGUCUUGAGAAGCUAGUUUACGAAAAAAAGAGCGGAGCAGACUCAAGUUGUUCGCUGGAAGUGAAGGGAAAAGAUAACCGAGACAGUUUGUUUUUGAAUAAGUUGGUUUUCUCUAAUCUAACUUAUCUGAAAAAGUUGUUCAUUGAAAAUUGCUCUCCUCUGCUGCUUGAUAACCUCCUAAUGCUAACAUCUCUCGAGUUCCUCUCAAUAUGUGAUUCAAGCAAUGUAUUAUCCCAGGUUGAAAGUGUGAGCCAUGGCGGAUGCCUGCUAUCUGUUAAAAAGAUAAGUGUCAGACGAUGUGGUUGCAAUGGUAAGGAAUUGGCACAACUGCUCUCACUUCUGCCGGAGCUCACCGAAAUGACAAUAGUGGAUUGUCAGGAGAUAAAAUGGCUAGGUGUGGCGGGGCAAUUAUCAGCAUCUUCUUCUUCUGCUGCUGAACAAUUGAAUCAUGGGCAAAUCGGACAGCAGCAGCAAGAGUCGAAAGGAGGAGUAGACGUAGUGCUGCUCUUGCCUCCCCAGCUACAGAAGUUAAACAUCCAAGCGCUCCCAGAGCUGAGCUUGCUCUCCUAUUCACUGGAAGGUGGCAACGAAGGAGGUGGGCUCCAAGGUCUCUGCUCCCUUCAGUUUUUGACAAUAUGGGAUUGCCCCAAGUUACUCCACUCCUAUUCAUACUCUAAUAUUCCUUUUCCAACCUCCCUGCAAAUAUUAAUUUUGAGUGGUUGUGGGGAGUUCAGAGGCAAGGGCAUAGGCCCUCUCCUCGCCCAAGGCCACCUCACAUCGUUAAGCAUCCUUAAAACCCCCAACUUCUUCGUUGGUUCUGAGCCACUUGACAAGGAGCUUCUACCCUGCUCCUCUGCACAUCAGGAGCUUGAGCUGAAGACAGAUGAUAUUGCAAGGUUCAUUCCUGCUCAUAUCUGCAGCCUCCUCUCUUCCUCCCUCACCACCCUAACUAUUGCUUGGAACAAAGAUGACGAUCGCUUCACACAGCAAGCGGAGGCCCUUGAGCUCCUCACCUCCCUCCGGACGCUCGAGUUUAGAUCUUGCGAGAAGCUGCAGUGCCUCCCAGCAGGUCUACAUAGACUUGCCAGCCUCAAGACAUUAUGGAUAGGGUCCUGUCAAGUCAUGCGGUCGUUACCAGAGGACGGCCUCCCGAGUUCUCUGAAAAAAUUGGUGAUCGGCGACUGUCCUGCCAUCAAGUUGCUACCCAAGGGCAGCCUCCCAAGUUCGCUGCAAGUAUUAGAUAUAUGGUACUGCCCUGCCCUGGUGUCUCUGCCCAAAAACGGCCUCCCAAGCUCUCUGCAAAAAUUGGAAAUCUGGAACUGCCCUGCCUUAAAGUCGCUGCCGGAGGAUGGCCUCCCAAGAUCUCUGCAGAGCAACAACUCCGACACACUGCUUUCCGUAUCUGGGUCGAUGCAGAAGUUGGAAAGGUGGACGCGAAGCUUACUUGCUACUCCCUCAUCAACUCCAUCAGCCCACAAGUCAGUUCUUGUGGCUGACCUGAAAUUGGCAGAUUUCAAGCAGUUCCUAGCAAAUAAAGGCCUGCAGGUUGAGUUUGGUGGGGCUACUCUACGGUGCGGCGAAUAUUUCACGGUGUGCAAGAUUGGUGAUUUUCCAAAAGGGGAGCGCGGAUUCUCAGAAGAUUGUGAUCGAGGGCCCGUUGUGUGA